rnacentral:misc_RNA from 1 species
AACGCAAAUUGCGCUCUUGGGUAGCCCUAGGAGCACGCCUCUCUCAGUAUCGGUUCAAACACCUCUCAGCAGCGUCGUUCGACUCAUUCGUGAGUUGUCGAUGUGUUGGCUGGAGAAUGAGAGUCUGUGGAAGCCUCUUCCGCAGUCUCUUGAAAUCUAUCGAGUGAACGCACUGUCCUUCUCAGCUUGUACGUCUUGUACGUACAAUAGCUUGGAACAACUGUUGCCUACGAGUGACGUGAAUACUGACCUUCAUGGUCUCCUUUUACGUGUAUCUUGUGCGGCGACAUUCGGUUGUCUCAAGUGAACGAGAUGUGUGAGUGUUUCAUGUGACGUGGCAUUCCGUGCUACAAUCGGCUGAAGCUGAUGUGGGAUCAUCUGAUCCUCACAUCCCCAGUCUGAAUUAUGAUCUGAGAUGAAGCGAGACAACCCCCUGAAUUUAA